UACCAGCACCCCGAGUGGUCGGGACGAUUAUUGGGCCUAAAGCAUCCGUAGCCGGUUCUACAAGUCUUCCGUUAAAUCCAACUGCUUAACAGAUGGGCCGCGGAGGAUACUACGAGACUAGGAGGCAGGAGAGGCAAGCGGUACUCAGUGGGUAGGGGUAAAAUCCGUUGAUCCAUUGAAGACCACCAGUGGCGAAGGCGGCUUGCCAGAAUGCGCUCGACGGUGAGGGAUGAAAGCUGGGGGAGCAAACCGG
rnacentral:rRNA from 1 species